rnacentral:rRNA from 1 species
GUGAACGCUGGCGGUCGGCCUAACCCAUGCCAGUCGAACGGCAGCACAGUAAGAGCUUGCUCUUACGGGUGGCGAGUGGCGGACGGGUGAGGAAUACAUCGGAAUCUACUUUUUCGUGGGGGAUAACGUAGGGAAACUUACGCUAAUACCGCAUACGACCUACGGGUGAAAGCAGGGGAUCUUCGGACCUUGCGCGAUUGAAUGAGCCGAUGUCGGAUUAGCUAGUUGGCGGGGUAAAGGCCCACCAAGGCGACGAUCCGUAGCUGGUCUGAGAGGAUGAUCAGCCACACUGGAACUGAGACACGGUCCAGACUCCUACGGGAGGCAGCAGUGGGGAAUAUUGGACAAUGGGCGCAAGCCUGAUCCAGCCAUACCGCGUGGGUGAAGAAGGCCUUCGGGUUGUAAAGCCCUUUUGUUGGGAAAGAAAAGCAGCAGGUUAAUACCCCGCUGUUCCGACGGUACCCAAAGAAUAAGCACCGGCUAACUUCGUG